rnacentral:rRNA from 1 species
AUUGAACGCUGGCGGCAGGCCUAACACAUGCAAGUCGAGCCGCGAAAAUUCCUUCGGGGAUGAGUAGAGCGGCGGACGGGUGAGUAAUGCGCAGAAAUCUGCCCAGUAGUGGGGGACAACCUGGUGAAAACCAGGCUAAUACCGCAUACGCCCUACGGGGAAAGGCAGGGAGUCUUCGGACCUUGCGCUAUUGGAUGAGUCUGCGUCGGAUUAGCUUGUUGGUGAGGUAAUGGCUCACCAAGGCGACGAUCCGUAGCUGGUCUGAGAGGAUGAUCAGCCACACUGGGACUGAGACACGGCCCAGACUCCUACGGGAGGCAGCAGUGGGGAAUAUUGGACAAUGGGCGAAAGCCUGAUCCAGCCAUGCCGCGUGUGUGAAGAAGGCUCUAGGGUUGUAAAGCACUUUCAGUGGGGAAGAAAGCUUGUUAGCUAAUAACUGACGAGUGUGACAUUACCCACAGAAGAAGCACCGGCUAACUCCG